rnacentral:rRNA from 1 species
UACGUAGGGUGCAAGCGUUAAUCGGAAUUACUGGGCGUAAAGCGUGCGCAGGCGGUUUUGUAAGUUUGUCGUGAAAGCCCCGGGCUCAACCUGGGAAUUGCGAUGAAGACUGCAAGGCUUGAAUCUGGCAGAGGGGGGUAGAAUUCCACGUGGUAGCAGGUGAAAUGCGUAGAGAUGUGGAGGAACACCGAUGGCGAAGGCAGCCCCCUGGGUCAAGAUUGACGCUCAUGCACGAAAGCGUGGGGAGCAAACAGGA